UUGCCAGACUCCUACGGGAGGCAGCAGUGGGGAAUAUUGGGCAAUGGGCGCAAGCCUGACCCAGCAACGCCGCGUGAAGGAAGAAGGCUUUCGGGUUGUAAACUUCUUUUCUGAGGGACGAAGCAAGUGACGGUACCUUAGGAAUAAGCCACGGCUAACUACGUGCCAGCAGCCGCGGUAAUACGUAGGGGGCGAGCGUUGUCCGGAAUCACUGGGCGUAAAGGGCGCGUAGGCGGUAAUAUAAGUCAGAUGUGAAAGGUGGGGGCUCAACCCCUAGAGUGCAACUGAUACUGUAUAACUUGAGUGUGAGAGAGGGAAGCGGAAUUCCUAGUGUAGCGGUGAAAUGCGUAGAUAUUAGGAGGAACACCAGUGGCGAAGGCGGCUUUCUGGCUCAUAACUGACGCUGAGGCGCGAAAGCGUGGGGAGCAAACAGGAUUAGAUACCCCCGUA
rnacentral:rRNA from 1 species